rnacentral:rRNA from 1 species
ACGGAGGAUGCAAGCGUUAUCCGGAUUCAUUGGGUUUAAAGGGUGCGCAGGCGGAAUGAUAAGUCAGUGGUGAAAUCCUACGGCUCAACUGUAGAACUGCCAUUGAUACUGUCGUUCUUGAGUACACUUGAAGUGGGCGGAAUGUGUCAUGUAGCGGUGAAAUGCUUAGAUAUGAGGCGGAACACCAGUGGCGAAGGCAGCUCACUAAAUUGUAACUGACGCUCAUGCACGAAAGCGUGGGGAGCAAACAG